rnacentral:rRNA from 1 species
GAGUUUGAUCUUGGCCCAGAAUCAACGCUGGCGGCGUGCCUAAUACAUGCAAGUCGAACGCGAAAGUCCCGCAAGGGAUGAGUAGAGUGGCAAACGGGUGAGUAACACGUGGGUGACCUGCCUUCGAGCGGGGGAUAACGUCCCGAAAGGGACGCUAAUACCGCAUGACAUCCUGCCUUUGAAGAGGCGGAGAUCAAAGCUGGGGAUCGCAAGACCUGGCACUUGAAGAGGGGCCCGCGCCUGAUUAGCUAGUUGGUGGGGUAACGGCUCACCAAGGCAACGAUCAGUAUCCGGCCUGAGAGGGCGGACGGACACACUGGGACUGAGACACGGCCCAGACUCCUACGGGAGGCAGCAGUAGGGAAUUGUUCGCAAUGGGCGCAAGCCUGACGACGCAACGCCGCGUGGAGGAUGAAGACC